CUCGGGUUGAUCCUGCCGGACCCGACUGCUAUCAGAGUGGGACUAAGCCAUGCGAGUCAACAUAGCAAUAUGUGGCAUACGGCUCAGUAACACGUAGUCAACAUGCCCAGGGGACGUGGAUAACCUCGGGAAACUGAGGAUAAACCGCGAUAGGUCAUCACUUCUGGAAUGGGUAAUGACUUAAAUCUAUAUGGCCCCUGGAUUGGACUGCGGCCGAUCAGGCUGUUGGUGAGGUAAUGGCCCACCAAACCUGUAACCGGUACGGGCUCUGAGAGGAGGAGCCCGGAGAUGGGCACUGAGACAAGGGCCCAGGCCCUAUGGGGCGCAGCAGGCGCGAAACCUCUGCAAUAGGCGAAAGCUUGACAGGGUUACUCUGAGUGAUUUCCGUUAAGGAGAUCUUUUGGCACCUCUAAAAAUGGUGCAGAAUAAGGGGUGGGCAAGUCUGGUGUCAGCCGCCGCGGUAAUACCAGCACCCCGAGUGGUCGGGACGUUUAUUGGGCCUAAAGCAUCCGUAGCCGGUUCUACAAGUCUUCCGUUAAAUCCACCUGCUUAACAGAUGGGCUGCGGAAGAUACUAUAGAGCUAGGAGGCGGGAGAGGCAAGCGGUACUCGAUGGGUAGGGGUAAAAUCCGUUGAUCCAUUGAAGACCACCAGUGGCGAAGGCGGCUUGCCAGAACGCGCUCGACGGUGAGGGAUGAAAGCUGGGGGAGUAAACCGGAUUAGAUACCCGGGUAGUCCCAGCUGUAAACGAUGCAGACUCGGUGAUGAGUUGGCUUAUUGCUAACUCAGUGCCGCAGGGAAGCCGUUAAGUUUGCCGCCUGGGGAGUACGGUCGCAAGACUGAAACUUAAAGGAAUUGGCGGGGGAGCA
rnacentral:rRNA from 1 species